AACUAAUACAACUUUUUCCCGUUUCUUCUUUUUUUCUUUCUUGUUUUCAUUUUUUUUUUUUCUUAAUUUCCCGCUUU
rnacentral:ribozyme from 1 species